rnacentral:rRNA from 1 species
UACGUAGGGUGCGAGCGUUGUUCGGAAUUACUGGGCGUAAAGCGUGCGCAGGCGGUUUGUUAAGUCAGAUGUGAAAUCCCCGGGCUUAACCUGGGAACUGCAUUUGUGACUGGCAAGCUAGAGUAUGGCAGAGGGGGGUAGAAUUCCACGUGUAGCAGUGAAAUGCGUAGAGAUGUGGAGGAAUACCGAUGGCGAAGGCAGCCCCCUGGGCCAAUACUGACGCUCAUGCACGAAAGCGUGGGGAGCAAACAGG